rnacentral:rRNA from 1 species
CCUGGUGGCGACCGGCGCACGGGUGAGUAACGCGUACACAACCUACCUUUAAGAGGGGGAUAGCCUUGGGAAACUGAGAUUAAUACCCCAUGUGAUUGUUGGAACUAUAUUUUGACAAUUAAAGGAGCAAUCCGCUUAGAGAUGGGUGUGCGUCCCAUUAGAUAGUUGGUGAGGUAACGGCUCACCAAGUCGACGAUGGGUAGGGGGCGUGAGAGCGUGACCCCCCACACGGGUACUGAGACACGGACCCG